UACCUGCGGAGGGAUCAUUACCGAGCGAGGGCCUCCGGGUCCGACCUCUCAACCCCAUGUUAUCCGACACUGUUGCCUCGGGGGCGACCCGGCCCCUCGCGGGCGUCGGGGCCCCCGGCGGACCGUCAAACGCUGCAUCUGUGCGUCCGAGUCUUAUGAGAAAUCAAUCAAAACUUUCAACAACGGAUCUCUUGGUUCUAGCAUCGAUGAAGAACGCAGCGAAAUGCGAUAAGUAAUGUGAAUUGCAGAAUUCAGUGAAUCAUCGAAUCUUUGAACGCACAUUGCGCCCUCUGGUAUUCCGGGGGGCAUGCCUGUUCGAGCGUCAUUUCACCACUCCAGCCUCGCUGGGCCUUGGGCGCCGCUGCUCUGUCGGCGCGCCCCAAUGUCUCCGGCUGAGCCGUCCGUCUCAAAGCGUUGUGGCAACUCAUCCGCUUGUGGGACCGGGGGGCUCGUCGCCGUCAAAACACACCAUUUUACCAGGUUGACCUCGGAUCAGGUAGGGAUACCCGCUGAACUUAAGCAUAUCAAUAAGCGGAGGAAAAGAAACCAACAGGGAUUGCCCCAGUAACGGCGAGUGAAGCGGCAACAGCUCAAAUUUGAAAUCUGGCGCAAGCCCGAGUUGUAAUUUGUAGAGGAUGCUUCUGGGCAGCGGCCGGUCUAAGUUCCUUGGAACAGGACGUCAUAGAGGGUGAGAAUCCCGUAUGCGACCGGUUGGCACCCGUCACGUAGCUCCUUCGACGAGUCGAGUUGUUUGGGAAUGCAGCUCUAAAUGGGUGGUAAAUUCCAUCUAAAGCUAAAUACCGGCUAGAGACCGAUAGCGCACAAGUAGAGUGAUCGAAAGAUGAAAAGCACUUUGGAAAGAGAGUUAAAAAGCACGUGAAAUUGUUGAAAGGGAAGCGCAUGCAACCAGACUUGUCGGCGGUGUUCCGCCGGUCUUCUGACCGGUCUACUCGCCGCCGGCAGGCCAGCAUCGUGUGGGCGCGCCGGAUAAAGGCGCCGGGAAUGUGGCCCCUCGGGGUGUUAUAGCCCGGCGCACAAUACGGUGCCGCCCGCGCGAGGUCCGCGCUUCGGCUAGGAUGCUGGCGUAAUGGUUGUCUGCGGCCCGUCUUGAAACACGGACCAAGGAGUCUAACAUCUAUGCGAGUGUUCGGGUGUCAAACCCCUACGCGGAAUGAAAGUGAACGGAGGUGGGAACCCUCACGGGUGCACCAUCGACCGAUCCUGAUGUCUUCGGAUGGAUUUGAGUAAGAGCAUAGCUGUUGGGACCCGAAAGAUGGUGAACUAUGCCUGAAUAGGGUGAAGCCAGAGGAAACUCUGGUGGAGGCUCGCAGCGGUUCUGACGUGCAAAUCGAUCGUCAAAUUUGGGUAUAGGGGCGAAAGAC
rnacentral:sRNA from 1 species